UACGGAGGGUGCAAGCGUUAAUCGGAAUUACUGGGCGUAAAGCGUGCGCAGGCGGUUUGUUAAGUCCGCUGUGAAAUCCCCGAGCUCAACUUGGGAAUUGCAGUGGAUACUGGCAAGCUGGAGUAUGGUAGAGGAAGGUGGAAUUCCCGGUGUAGCAGUGAAAUGCGUAGAGAUCGGGAGGGACACCAGUGGCGAAGGCGGCCUUCUGGACCAAUACUGACGCUCAUGCACGAAAGCGUGGGGAGCAAACAGG
rnacentral:rRNA from 1 species